CCCUUAGAUGUUCUGGGCUGCAUGCGCGCUACACUGAAGCUAUCAACACGUUUUCCCUCCCUGAGAAGGGCGGGUAACCUUCUGAAUCAGCUUCGUGGUAGGGAUCGGGGCUUGCAAUUGUUCCCCGUGAACCAGGAAUUCCUAGUAGACGCGAGUCAUAAGCUCGCAUCGAUUAAGUCCCUGCCCUUUGUACACACCGCCCGUCGCUACUACCGAUUGAACGUUUUAGUGAGGCAUUUGGACCGACGCAUCUCAGUUUAACCGCUGGUUUGUGUUGGAAAGACUUCCAAACUUGAGCGUUUAGAGGAAGUAAAAGUCGUAACA
rnacentral:rRNA from 1 species